rnacentral:rRNA from 1 species
GACGAACGCUGGCGGCGUGCUUAACACAUGCAAGUCGAGCGGUAAGGCCCUUUCGGGGGUACACGAGCGGCGAACGGUGAGUAACACGUGGGUGACCUGCCCUCAGCUCUGGGAUAAGCCCUGGGAAACCGGGUCUAAUACUGGAUAUGACUCCAUGACGCAUGUUAGUGGGGUGGAAAGCCUUGUGCGGCUGAGGAUGGGCCCGCGGCCUAUCAGCUUGUGGUGGGGUGAUGGCCUACCAAGGCGACGACGGGUAGCCGGCCUGAGGAAGGCGACCGGCCACAC